GGAGUUAGCCGGUGCUUCUUCUGUGAGUGAUGUCCUUCCUGCCGGCUAUUAACCCGCAGGCCUUCUUCCUCACUGAAAGUGCUUUACAACCCGAAGGCCUUCUUCACACACGCGGCAUGGCUGGAUCAGGGUUGCCCCCAUUGUCCAAUAUUCCCCACUGCUGCCUCCCGUAGGAGUCUGGGCCGUGUCUCAGUCCCAGUGUGGCUGAUCAUCCUCUCAGACCAGCUACGGAUCGUCGCCUUGGUGAGCCGUUACCUCACCAACCAGCUAAUCCGACAUAGGCUCAUCCGAUAGCGCGAGGCCCGAAGGUCCCCCGCUUUCCCCCGUAGGGCGUAUGCGGUAUUAGCCUGGGUUUCCCCAGGUUAUCCCCCACUACCGGGCAGAUUCCUAUGCAUUACUCACCCGUCCGCCGCUCGCCACCAGGGAGCAAGCUCCCCGUGCUGCCGCUCGACUUGCAUGUGUUAGGCCUGCCGCCAGCGUUCAAUCUGAGCCAGAAAUCGAAACCCUGACUCGAGACGGCGUGCGAACGACGGCGACUAG
rnacentral:rRNA from 1 species